AAUCAACGCUGGCGGCGCGCUUAACACAUGCAAGUCGAGCGGGAAAGGAGGAGCAAUCCUCUGAGUAGAGCGGCGCACGGGUGAGUAACACGUGGAUGAUCUGCCUUGAAGUGGGGAAUAACUCUGGGAAACCGGAGCUAAGACCGCAUACGCCUGGGAAGGGAAAGCCUCGCAAGGGGCGCUUUGAGAGGAGUCCGCGGCCGAUUAGCUAGUUGGUGAGGUAAUGGCUCACCAAGGCGGGGAUCGGUAGCCGGCCUGAGAGGGCACACGGCCACAC
rnacentral:rRNA from 1 species